rnacentral:rRNA from 1 species
CCUACGGGAGGCAGCAGUGGGGGAUCUUGCACAAUGGGGGAAAGCCUGAUGCAGCAACGCCGCGUGGGUGAAGAAGCGCCUCGGCGCGUAAAGCCCUGUCAGCAGGGAAGAAAAUGCCUGUAACUGAAGAAGAAACCCCGGCUAACUACGUGCCAGCAGCCGCGGGAAUACGUAGGGGGCAGGCGGUAUCCGGAUUUACUGGGUGUAAAGGGGGCGCGGACGGCUAUGCAAGUCAGGAGUGAAAGCCCGGGGCCGAACCCCGGGACUGCUUUUGGAACUGCGUGGCUAGAGUGCAGGAGGGGCAGGCGGAAUUCCUGGUGUAGCGGUGAAAUGCGUAGAUAUCAGGAGGAACACCGGUGGCGAAGGCGGCCUGCUGGACUGCAACUGACGCUGAGGCCCGAAAGCGUGGGGAGCAAACAGGAUUAGAUACCCUUGUAGUC